GGCGGAGCGGCGGGAUGCGGCAGUGCCGGGCCGCGGGGCUGGCGGGGCUGGCCGCGGUGCUGCUGGUGGCUGUGAGCAGAGCCCAGGUGCAGCAGGAGCCGGCGGUAGAGACCACCGAGGGGGCAGCAGUCAACAUCACCUGCUCACACCCCAGCAUACAGAUCGGCUAUUCCGUCUACUGGUACCGUCAGCUCCCGGGCCGAGGACCCGCAUUCCUCGUUAGCACAGCUAAAGACUCCAAGGAGGUGCCGGACCCGGAGGGGCAGCUGUCGGUGUCGGCAGACCGCCGCUCCAGCGUCCUGCGUCUCGCCCGGCCCCGGCUCGGGGACGCGGCGCUGUAUUACUGCGCCGUGGACCCACGGAAGCGAAGCCGGGGCUGCGGCCGGGCACGAACCGCUUGGGGCGGGGCGGGGGCACAGUGCCGUCCGGGCCCGCAGGGGGCGCUGCCUGCAUGGCCGCCAAACUCCAUCCUGACCGGGGUGCGCCGCCCUGAGGUCUCGAGAAAAACGAGCACUGCACCCAUAGCAGCCGUGAUUCAUUGAUCCCAAAUUGAAUCAAUCUCAGCUGGGUCUGUGGCAGGGCUGCACGCCAUGUAUUUGUGGGGAACAGCAGGACUGACAGCAUGGGCUGUUUGACACCAGACGGACAUUCUCACAAUUCUGUUCCAUCUUCUAUCCUCUCCUCCUUCCCCAACACACCACAUAUGAGAUCCAGGAAGGAGAGGGGCCUGAAAGCAGAACUUCUGCAAUGUGUCAAGUGAGGAAACAAAUUUAGGAAAUAUCCUAGUGGAAUGCAAGGUAACACAAUGUGGUACAUUAUCAUUGGAAUGGAAGUGAAUACAUCAAAUAAAUGAAAGAAGGACAGUGUACAAAAAAAAAGCUCUUGCUCUAAUGCUGAAGGGGAGAUGGCUAGUGUGCACACACCACGGAGAUGAUCGGAAAGACAUCCCAGCACUCCCAAGCAGUUUUAUCUUUCCUUCUGAAUGGAAAACAGAAACGCAAUGGUGAAGUGUUCUGGGAGCUGUUGUUCUUCUCAUCUCAGGUACUCAGGUAUUGAGGCGCUGCCAGCGAUCCACAGGACUGCAGCAUUAAUUAUUUACGUCCGAGUGCAGUGCAUGAAGUCACAAUGUGGAAUGUCAAUAAAAAAAACCA